rnacentral:rRNA from 1 species
UUUUUAAAGUCUGGCCUGCCCACUGAGGUAUUUAAAGGGCCGCAGUAUUCUAACUGUGCAAAGGUAGCAUAAUCAUUAGUCUUUUAAUUGGAGGCUGGUAUGAACGGUUGGACGAGGUAUAAGCUGUUUCAUAUAAAUUUAUAAUAGAAUUUUAUAUUUUAGUUAAAAAGCUAAAAUGUUGUUAAAAGACGAGAAGACCCUAUAAAUCUUUAUACUUUACUUUAUUUAAGUUUUGUAGAUUUAUUUUAUUUUUAUAUUGGGGAGUAUUUUAUUGGGGUGAUAUUAAAAUUUAAUUAACUUUUAAUUGUAUUUGGUUCAUUGAUUUAUGAUUUAUUGAUCCGUUAUUAGUGAUUAUGAGAUUAAGUUACUUUAGGGAUAACAGCGUAAUUUUUUUGGAGAGUUCAUAUCGAUAAAAAAGUUUGCGACCUCGAUGUUGGAUUAAGAGAUAUUUUUAGGUGUAGCCGCUUAAAU